UACGGAGGAUGCAAGCGUUAUCCGGAUUUAUUGGGUUUAAAGGGUGCGUAGGCGGCUUAGUAAGUCAGCGGUGAAAUUUUGCAGCUUAACUGUAACAGUGCCGUUGAUACUGCAUGGCUAGGAUUUGGUUGCUGUGGGUGGAAUGUGUGGUGUAGCGGUGAAAUGCUUAGAUAUCACACAGAAUAUCAAUUGCGAAGGCAGCUCACAAAGCCAAGAUUGACGCUGAGGCACGAAAGUGUGGUGA
rnacentral:rRNA from 1 species